CCCUUAGAUGUUCUGGGCCGCACGCGUGCUACACUGACCGGCGCAACAAGUUUCUUUCCUUGGCUCGAUAGGCCUGGGUAAUCUUUGAACGCCGGUCGUGAUGGGGAUAGAUCCUUGCAAUUUUUGAUCUUCAACGAGGAAUUCCUAGUAAAUGCGAGUCAUCAUCUCGCGUUGAUUACGUCCCUGCCCUUUGUACACACCGCCCGUCGCACCUACCGAUUGAAUGGUCCGGUGAAAUCUCGGGACGGCGGCUCGGUCGCUUGCGUCCGACUGCUGAAACUUGAUUAAACCAUAUCAUUUAGAGGAAGGUGAAGUCGUAACA
rnacentral:rRNA from 1 species